GGGCCCUUAGCUCAGUUGGUCAGAGCAGGGGACUCAUAAUCCCUUGGUCGUAGGUUCGAAUCCUACAGGGCCCACAA
rnacentral:tRNA from 1 species